GACGAACGCUGGCGGCGUGCUUAACACAUGCAAGUCGAACGGAAAGGCCCUGCUUUUGUGGGGUGCUCGAGUGGCGAACGGGUGAGUAACACGUGAGUAACCUGCCCCUGACUUUGGGAUAACUUCAGGAAACUGGGGCUAAUACCGGAUAGGAGCUCCUGCUGCAUGGUGGGGGUUGGAUAGUUUCGGCGGUUGGGGAUGGACUCGCGGCUUAUCAGCUUGUUGGUGGGGUAGUGGCUUACCAAGGCUUUGACGGGUAGCCGGCCUGAGAGGGUGACCGGCCACAUUGGGACUGGGAUACGGCCCAGACUCCUACGGGAGGCAGCAGUGGGGAAUAUUGCACAAUGGGCGGAAGCCUGAUGCGGCAACGCCGCGUGCGGGAUGAGGGCCUUCGGGUUGUAAACCGCUUUCGCCUGUGACGAAGCGUGAGUGACGGUAAUGGGUAAAGAAGCACCGGCUAACUACGUG
rnacentral:rRNA from 1 species